UUUUAAAAAGUUUCGCCCAGAAGUUUUCUAUGACAACAAGGUUUUACCUGAGGAUACAGAAGUCAGAGUGUUUGUCUUCAGGGAGGAAGUUAAAAAUCCUUUCUUCGCUUACCUGUAGAACAUGUAGUAUCAAGUAGUCUUGCUGAAUAGAUGUUAAUUGGGCCUGAAAUGGAUUCUAAAGCGGAUCUCAGAAACACAUGGGCUUUCUACGUUUUCACCCUUUUACGUUCUUCAGUAUCAUCUGGCACAAUACGUACAUUUUUGGGUCGAGCUUCAGUUGGCUGGCAGCGAGCCCUGGCAGGGUUUUCUUCUUGGUGGAACGAGAACACAGUCCUUUGUCACUAACCAUUACUCCUUGUUCAGCUCCCAUCCAGUGGAAGCUUUCCCUGCGGCAUUUCCCAGUGUCUGCUAAUCGACAAGAAAAAG